GACGGGAGAUAUAUUUCGAUUUUGUCUCAAAAAUUGAAAAUUGCUGAACUUUUUUCGUAUUUAAUGCGAGUCAGCGAUGGAUGUCAUAAACGAUAACGAUAAGGCAUUCGAAGAAGCAUUUCACAAUCUGUAUGGAAGUGAAAUCGAAAUCAGUAAUGACGACGAAGAAAUCGAUACACAAACACUGUUUCAAUCUAUUGAUGAUCUGGAUUGUACAUUGAUCGAGAAUACAGAAGAUGAUUCUCGAGAUUCUCAAGUAGUACUAGUGAUAGCCCC